GCUCUUAAAAAACAAAAAAGGCAAAAAACCCACAACCGACCCGCACCGCUGCGCCGCUCCUCGCCGCGGCCGGCAGGGCCGUGCAGCCCCCGUGCAGCCCCGCAGCGCCGCCCGGCUCCCGGCGGCGCUGUGCCGCCCCCUGCCGCCCACAGGCGGUACUGCAGGCGGAGGGGCCGCGCCCGGCAGCGGCGGCCCUGCCCGCGGCAAGAUGGCGGCGCCCUCAUCCGGAGCCGCUCCGGAGCCGCUCCGGAGCCGCGCCGGGCUCGGCUCGGGCCGGGACGCGGCGCUGAGGCGCGGUGCCGCUGCGGGGCUGCGGGUCGGGGCGCGGCGAGCGUUUCCGUUGCUGCUGGUCUCUGCAGAGUUCGGGAAAAGUGGAGAGACGGGGCGGAAUUCCAGCAGAGAGGUGGAAGGUGGAAGAAGCCUUCUUGGCCCAUACAAAGCCAGAACGGCGUCGCUUCCCAGAACAGGGAGACUGGGUGUACGUACAGUGCUGCCGAAGGAAGGCUGCCGGGCACUGCUUGUGCCAAGUCAAGGACUUUUUGGUUCCUUACACUGCCCUGCCAGCAAGGGGGCUGGGAGUGCACAAGGAACUGGGAGGGGACAGAGACAGGACCGCUGACCCAAACUGACCGAAGGGAUGUUCCUCACCAUCCCAUAUGGCAUCACGCUGAACAAUUCAUACGGGGUGGCUGGGGGGGGAACAGGAUGGGGAGGACCGCUGCUUGGGGAUGGGCUGGGCAUCAUCAGCAGGUGGUGAGCAAUUGCAUUGCGAAUCGCCUGCUUUGGAACAUUCCGUCAUCAUCACCAGCAGCGUUAUUAUUACUUCCCUGCCUUUUCUGUCCUAUUAAACUAUCUUUAUCCUAACCCACAAGCUUUGACUAUUUUUUCUUCCCAAGUGUCCCACGGUGCCGUUCACUCCAGCCACCUGCCAGGUUAAGCCAGAACAAGAACACAGAUGGGAAAGGGUAGAAUGCGCACCUCCUCAUUUGGCUUUCAGAAGGACACAGACUAACAAGUUACUCUAGUGAACAGUGUGAUUGGGCAGGUUCUCCUGACUUAGGGAACUUGUCAGGGCAACUGAUCUUCUUUUUCUAAUGUUAUUUUUCAUAAUACUCACUGCAAACCCUUGCUGAAUUUGAAAAAGUUACAGAGAGGUUGCCUGUGACAUCUCUGGAAAGGGGGGGUGCGUUUUCGUGGAGGUGUGACUCUUUCUGUAAUCUCUUGUCAAAAACGUCUGGGUAAACGGAUCCUUCAUCCCGUUGGAUACGGAUGUCCUGCAGGGGUGUCUGCCAUUCCCACGACAGGGAUAGCUGCAGAGCGGGUACCGAGUGGAAAGGAGAUCCGAACGACAGCUAAUGUCGCCAUUAAAAACUCUGUGGGAGCAGCCUGGGACAAGAUGUGGAAGGAGAACUUGGUGAGGAGCUGCUCUGCAAGGUGGAGGCGGGCAGUGACCCAAGAGGAGCAAAGUCAGCAGGAGAAGAUAGGGGGUCUGGGCGGGGGAGAUGUUGGGAGAGGCGGAGCAGCUGACAGGAGCGACUUUUCCCUUUCCUGUGAGGGAGAUGAUGAUGGAAAACCUGCCCCGGAGAAACGCUUGCUGUUUGUAGUUCAGACUGUAAAGCUGCUUCACAGAAUCACAGAAGUUAGGGAUUGGAAGGGACCUUGACAGAUCAUCUAGUCCAAUCCCCCUGCCGGAGCAGGAACACCGAGAUCAGGUCACACAGGAAUUUGUCCAGGUGGGUUCUGAAUGUCUCCAGAGAAGGAGACUCCACAGCCCCCCUGGGCAGCCUGUUCCAGUGCUCUGUCACCCCCACCAUGAAGAAGUUUCAUCUCACAUUUAAGCGGGACCUCCUGUGAGUUCCAGCUU
rnacentral:lncRNA from 1 species